AUACGAAAGGUGCAAGCGUUGUUCGGAUUUAUUGGGCGUAAAGAGAGUGUAGGUGGUUUAUUAAGUCGGAUGUGAAAUCCCGGGGCUCAACCUCGGAACUGCAUUCGAUACUGAUAGGCUAGAGUUUGGGAGGGGUAAGCGGAAUUCCGUGUGUAGCAGUGAAAUGCGUAGAUAUACGGAGGAACACCUGAGGCGAAGGCGGCUUACUGGACCAAUACUGACACUGAGACUCGAAAGCGUGGGUAGCAAACAGGAUUAGAUACCCCAGUAGUCC
rnacentral:rRNA from 1 species